UACGUAGGGUGCAAGCGUAUCCGGAAUUAUUGGGCGUAAAGAGCUCGUAGGCGGUUUGUUGCGUCGGCUGUGAAAACCUGAGGCUCAACCUCAGGCCUGCAGUCGAUACGAGCAGACUAGAGUGUUGCAGGGGAGACUGGAAUUCCUGGUGUAGCGGUGAAAUGCGCAGAUAUCAGGAGGAACACCGGUGGCGAAGGCGGGUCUCUGGGCAACAACUGACGCUGAGGAGCGAAAGCGUGGGGAGCGAACAGG
rnacentral:rRNA from 1 species